GAUGAACGCUGGCGGCGUGCCUAAUACAUGCAAGUCGAGCGAACAGACGAGGAGCUUGCUCCUCUGCCGUUAGCGGCGGACGGGUGAGUAACACGUGGAUAACCUACCUAUAAGACUGGGAUAACUUCGGGAAACCGGAGCUACUACCGGCUAAUAUAUUGAACCGCAUGGUUCAAUAGUGAAAGACGGUUUUGCUGUCACUUAUAGAUGGAUUCGCGCUGCAUUAGCUAGUCGGUAAGGUAACGGCUUACCAAGGCGACGAGGCGUAGCCGGCCUGAGAGGAUGAUCAGCAACACUGGAACUGAGACACGGUCCGGACUCCUGCGGGAGGCAGAAGUGGGGAAUAUUGGACAAUGGGCGCAAGCCUGAUCCAGCCAUACCGCGUGGGUGAAGAAGGCCUUCGGGUUGUAAAGCACUUUUGUUGGGAAAGAAAAGCAGCAGGUUAAUACCCCGCUGUUCUGACGGUACCCAAAGAAUAAGCACCGGCUAACUUCGUG
rnacentral:rRNA from 1 species